rnacentral:rRNA from 1 species
UACGAAGGGGGCUAGCGUUGCUCGGAAUCACUGGGCGUAAAGCGCACGUAGGCGGCUUUUUAAGUCAGGGGUGAAAUCCUGGAGCUCAACUCCAGAACUGCCUUUGAUACUGCGAAGCUAGAGUACGGAAGAGGCGAGUGGAAUUCCUGGUGUAGCGGUGAAAUGCGCAGAUAUCAGGAAGAACACCCGUGGCGAAGGCGGCUCUCUGGGACGGUACUGACGCUGAGACGCGAAAGCGUGGGGAGCGAACAGG